GUUAAAGCAGACAUUCAAAUUCCCAGAACAUUUGACUUCUUGAAUGCUAUUGGACUGUAGUAGAAUUGUGAAAAGUAUGGUUGCGUCUAUCAACGAGAUAGGUGUAGAUCGCCAGUUGUGGAAGCAGAUGAAAACAUGGAUUAGCAGCGUAGUAGAAUUAGUAGUGUGUUUGGAUGUUCAUACUGGAAGCGUGACGCAACAUCUCCGUGAAUAAGAAGCACUGGUGCAUGAUGGGAAUGACGAUGAACACGAACGGCUGUUCCGUCUGCAAUAACAGCGAUGUAGAGUGGAUCAUUUAAUCAUUCCUUGAACGAUGAAACAAACGAACGUAUAACAUGGAUUCGGGCGCGAGUACGAAGAACGCACCAUCAUCGCCUCUGAAACAACUACUUUAGCUUGAAACGUUUUCGUACUGACGUUGCAGUACUUGACUUAUAAAAAUACAGCGUUAUCUAUGUACAGAUAAUAGAGCGCUUUUGAUUAAUCUCCGAAAUGCCUUCCGCCCCACUCUGCGCGUCCUCUUUCUAGGAGACAACAUUUAUCACGACACUUCCACCGUUCUGCAGCGAGCGAAACGUCUGAACGUCGGGGAUAG